ensembl:rRNA 5S_rRNA 5S ribosomal RNA
CGCUACGGCCAUACCACUCUGAAAAAGCCUGAUCUCAUCUGACCUCGGAAGCAAAGCAGAGCUGGGCCCUGUUUAGUACUUGGUUGGGAGACUGAAUGGAAUACUAGUGCUGUAAAGC